AACGAACGCUGGCGGCAGGCCUAACACAUGCAAGUCGAACGCCGUAGCAAUACGGAGUGGCAGACGGGUGAGUAACGCGUGGGAACCUACCUUACGGUCGGGAAUAGCUCAGGGAAACUUGGGGUAAUACCGGAUACGCCCUUACGGGGAAAGAUUUAUCGCCGUUAGAUGGGCCCGCGUCGGAUUAGCUAGUUGGUGAGGUAACGGCUCACCAAGGCGACGAUCCGUAGCUGGUCUGAGAGGAUGAUCAGCCACACUGGGACUGAGACACGGCCCAGACUCCUACGGGAGGCAGCAGUGGGGAAUAUUGGACAAUGGGCGCAAGCCUGAUCCAGCCAUGCCGCGUGAGUGACGAAGGCCUUAGGGUUGUAAAAGCUCUUUUGGCGGGGAAGAUAAUGACGGUACCCGCAGAAUAAGCUCCGGCUAACUUCGUG
rnacentral:rRNA from 1 species